CGUUGUGGUCUAGCGGUUAGAACGCUGGCCUUGUAAUCCUGGGGUCUCGGGUUCGAUUCCCGGCGGUG
rnacentral:tRNA from 1 species